GACUAAAUUGUCACAUCGAGAAAAUAUCCUUCCUCAGUGACAAGAUAGUAUAGAAACAGCACUGUUCUUCCUGAUUGUUAUUUACAUCUGGGUAAUCUCUGAGUUUCCUCCGUGUAGGCUUUUUACGCACAGCAGAAACGCGUGGAUUAAUACAAAUACUAAACUAGUUGGGGGAACAGAGAACGUGAAAAUGGACGAGAAGCCUCAAGUGGAGAGAUAUCAGAGAGAGAGAGAGAGAAAGAAUGGACCAGUCUGGAGAGGCUGAGAACAAUGCUGCUGCAGUGGCCACAACAUCAGCGUUGGGUGGAGAAAGCUGAGAUCCUGGAACACACCGUUCUCUUUCUCCAGAACACUGGCGAUGGGGACAGGAAGAAAGCUGAAGGUGAGGAGCAUUGAGGUCGCGGCUUAAGCUCAACUCGCUGCCCGGCACAACACGCCACCAGUCCUUACCCAUCAUGAAGAUACAGGAAUCCCGCUACAGACAGCAGCUUUGUGCAGUCAGGAUAAAUCAUCCUCACAGAGCUCCGCUCCGACAUGGAGCAACGCUCCCCAGCAGCACCACAGACACGCUGCCAAAGAAUCCCAAUCUCAGAACCUCUCAGCCAGUCUGUGUGGAGGCCGUGGCUCUGAUCUACCACAGGAUAUUGAACUGUAAACAACUGCCACAUCCGUUGCUGCUGAGACUGCUACGGAGUCAUUCAUUUAUGUAGUGUUGUGAACACUGAACUCAUGGGCUCCAUAGAUUUGCAAUGAUAUGACCGUAUUGUAGCUAUACCGCACAGCAGAAUAUAUCUGUAAUUAUUGCACAAUAACUUCGACUUUGCCAUCACUACAUCUGCUGACGUAAAAAGGUCUUUAUAAAUACAUUUGAUUAGAUGAUUACAACAUGUACUAUGUAUAACUUGUAGUACGAGAUGGGCAGUAUUUCUGUUACAUGUAUUUGAAAAAUGUAUUUAAAUUACUUCUGAGUUUUGUAUUACACGGGGCUGAACAACACUUCAAUGUAUUUUGUAACAAGAUCAAAUCGAGAACUCUAAUUUGUAUUUACAAAUUACUUUUCUAUACCCUUUGUUUUUUUUAUACUGGUUCACCAUUUUGUGGCCCCCUUUCACCCUGCAUUGGUAUCAGAAGUCUGAUGGCACUAUGGUGUGAUAAGAGCAUAUUUAGUCAGUGCAUUUAUUUUUGCACCAAAGUACGUUCAUCUCUAGGAGACAGAAUGUGUCUCCUUCCUGAGCGGUAUGACGGCAGUGUGGUCCCAUGGUG